ACGAACGCUGGCGGCGUGCUUAACACAUGCCCGUCGAACGGAAAGGCCCCUUUGGGGGUACUCGAGUGGCGAACGGGUGAGUAACACGUGAGUAACCUGCCCUUGACUUCGGGAUAACUUCAGGAAACUGGGGCUAAUACCGGAUAGGAAUCCUUGCUGCAUGGUGGGGGUUGGAAAGCUUCGGCGGUUUUGGAUGGACUCGCGGCUUAUCAGCUUGUUGGUGGGGUAGUGGCUUACCAAGGCUUUGACGGGUAGCCGGCCUGAGAGGGCGACCGGCCACAUUGGGACUGAGAUACGGCCCAGACUCCUACGGGAGGCAGCAGUGGGGAAUAUUGCACAAUGGGCGGAAGCCUGAUGCAGCAACGCCGCGUGCGGGAGGACGGCCUUCGGGUUGUAAACCGCUUUCAGCAGGGGCGAAGCUUGUGGUGACGGUACCUGCAGAAGAAGCACCGGCUAACUACGUG
rnacentral:rRNA from 1 species